UGUAAACCUCUUUUAGCAGGGAAGAAGCGAAAGUGACGGUACCUGCAGAAAAAGCGCCGGCUAACUACGUGCCAGCAGCCGCGGUAAUACGUAGGGCGCAAGCGUUAUCCGGAAUUAUUGGGCGUAAAGAGCUCGUAGGCGGUUUGUCGCGUCUGCUGUGAAAUCCCGAGGCUCAACCUCGGGCCUGCAGUGGGUACGGGCAGACUAGAGUGCGGUAGGGGAGAUUGGAAUUCCUGGUGUAGCGGUGGAAUGCGCAGAUAUCAGGAGGAACACCGAUGGCGAAGGCAGAUCUCUGGGCCGUAACUGACGCUGAGGAGCGAAAGGGUGGGGAGCAAACAGGCUUAGAUACCCUGGUAGUCCACCCCGUAAACGUUGGGAACUAGUUGUGGGGUCCAUUCCACGGAUUCCGUGACGCAGCUAACGCAUUAAGUUCCCCGCCUGGGGAGUACGGCCGCAAGGCUAAAACUCAAAGGAAUUGACGGGGACCCGCACAAGCGGCGGAGCAUGCGGAUUAAUUCGAUGCAACGCGAAGAACCUUACCAAGGCUUGACAUAUACGAGAACGGGCCAGAAAUGGUCAACUCUUUGGACACUCGUAAACAGGUGGUGCAUGGUUGUCGUCAGCUCGUGUCGUGAGAUGUUGGGUUAAGUCCCGCAACGAGCGCAACCCUCGUUCUAUGUUGCCAGCACGUAAUGGUGGGAACUCAUGGGAUACUGCCGGGGUCAACUCGGAGGAAGGUGGGGAUGACGUCAAAUCAUCAUGCCCCUUAUGUCUUGGGCUUCACGCAUGCUACAAUGGCCGGUACAAAGGGCUGCAAUACCGCGAGGUGGAGCGAAUCCCAAAAAGCCGGUCCCAGUUCGGAUUGAGGUCUGCAACUCGACCUCAUGAAGUCGGAGUC
rnacentral:rRNA from 1 species